rnacentral:rRNA from 1 species
UGCCAGCCGCCGCGGUAAUACCAUCACCACAAGUCUUAUGCAGAUACUAGGCUUAAAGCGUGCGCAGCCUGAUCCGGUAGUCUUCGGUUAAAUCUGUACGCUUAACGUACAGGCUGCCGGGAAUACUGCAGAGCUAGGGAGUGGGAGAGGUAGACGGUACUCGGUAGGAAGGGGUAAAAUCCUUUGAUCUAUUGAUGACCACCUGUGGCGAAGGCGGUCUACCAGAACACGUCCGACGGUGAGGGAUGAAAGCUGGGGGAGCAAACCGGAUUAGAUA